rnacentral:pre_miRNA from 1 species
UUUGUACUCCCUCCAUCCCAAAAUUCAUGUCUUACAUUUGUCUAGAUAUGAAUGUAUCUAGUCACAUUUUAGUAUUUAGAUACAUCCAUUUCUAGACAAACCUAAGACAAGAAUUUUAGGACGUAGGGCGUAUAAG